GGAAGUAAAAGUCGUAACAAGAUUUCCGUAGGUGAACCUGCGGAAGGAUCAUUAAAAAUGAAGCCGGGAAACCGGUCCUUCUAACCCUUGAUUAUCUUAAUUUGUUGCCUUGGUGGGCCGCGCAAGCACCGGCUUCGGCUGGAUCGUGCCCGCCAGAGGACACAACUCUGUAUCAAAUGUCGUCUGAGUACUAUAAAAUAGUUAGAACUUUCAACAACGGAUCUCUUGGUUCUG
rnacentral:misc_RNA from 1 species